UGAACGAGUGGCGGACGGGUGNGUAACACGNGGGUAACCUGCCCUUAAGUGGGGGAUAACAUUUGGAAACAGAUGCUANUACCGCAUAAAUCCAAGAACCGCAUGGNUCUUGGCUGAAAGAUGGCGUAAGCUAUCGCUUUUGGAUGGACCCGCGGCGUAUUAGCUAGUUGGUGAGGUAACGGCUCACCAAGGCAAUGAUACGUAGCCGAACUGAGAGGUUGAUCGGCCACAUUGGGACUGAGACACGGCCCAAACUCCUACGGGAGGCAGCAGUAGGGAAUCUUCCACAAUGGACGCAAGUCUGAUGGAGCAACGCCGCGUGAGUGAAGAAGGCUUUCGGGUCGUAAAACUCUGUUGUUGGAGAAGAAUGGUCGGCAGAGUAACUGUUGUCGGCGUGACGGUAUCCAACCANAAAGCCACGGCUAACUACGGGCCAGCAGCCGCG
rnacentral:rRNA from 1 species